rnacentral:lncRNA from 1 species
CAUUUAAUCAUGUUUAUUAUGACAAACAACAACUUCAAAUGAAAUCUGCAGCAAAAAGUCACACACUACUCAGCCUCACAGAGCAGAUAGAUAUGGUAUGACAGGGUGUACUUGCUAGUCCAGUUUGUACUACCAUACGCAGCCUGCCCGCUUCUAGGGACACUCUGCUUCAGUCACAUCAGAAAACCCCUGCACUGAGGCAUGCAGAUGGCAUAGGCCAAAUCUGUCAAGACAGUGCUCAGUAACCAAGUCUAGAAAAAUCUCAGUACAGUUCAGACACUGAUAUGCCUCUGUAGCCCCUUCCUCUGAAGCCACAGUUAGUUAUAUCUCAUCAUCAGUCCUGUUUGUGGUUUCUCUUAAAUCACUGACUCCAAGAUGUUACCUUUUCUCACCUUAUCCAAGGGAAGAAGCGGUUAAUUAGCAUAAGGUAAAGCGCCCUGGGCUUCACUUUGUCCAGAUGCUCUCACAUCGCACAGUAUUUGCUUUCUGGGAAAACCUGCACUACCAGGACACUCCCAGACAAAAGGAAAUCAUUUCCUCACUGCUACAGGGGCAGGAAAAAAAACCCCAUGAGACAGCUAAUGAGCACCUGAUCAUGUACUGCCAGCCCCCAGCAGUCCCUGCCCCAGUGCGAGGAAAUACUUGGGAGGGUGGACGGGAGGUCACACCCUUGGUGACAAUCUCUCUGCACAGGCAGAAAUGCCCACUGUCCUCAUGGAAAGGAUUCCUUUCCAGGUCAGCUCUCCAGGGGAUGUCACAGUGCUCUUCCACUACUGUUCCAGGUUGUAGUUUUCUUGCUGCAGCACUUCCUGUCUGAUAAAACCCAAACUCAAGGCAAAAAGGAUUAUAAAAAACAGCAGUCAGAUGCCAUUUAAGUUCAUGUACUAUAAAAGUGUCUUAAAAAUACUGUGUUCAGUAAAAAAUAUAAAGAGAUAUUUUCUCCCUUAUUUCUAUUAAAAACCCUGGGAAAUUACAAGUUCUGUUUCCAACAAGAGAUGGAAAAACACUUAAGCAUCCACAUCCUUUAAGAAUAAUGCCAUCAGUGUUCUGAUGUAUAUAUUUAAUAUGAUUCAACUUUUAAAAUGAGUCUUAAUUAAAAUCAAACCUUUGAAAUUGAGCUCACAAUGAAAAAUAAAUAAAGGCUCAUCUUCAUGUCAUAGAGGUUCACCUUUUCCCUCCCCCAACAGUAGAGUCUUUGUUAAAAGACAACAUGAGAAGUCACAUUAAAUUAUGAGAAGAGCCACCAGGAAACCACCUCUGAUCAUGAAGUAACUUGUCCACUUGUAUCGGUUUCUGGGUUUGGCCACAGCCUGUUGCUGCACAAAUACAGAAAGUGUCUCUGAGUCUAAAAACCGGCUGCUCUGAGCCACGAUCAAGGUGCUUAAAGGACUUUCGACUUGGAGAUCCAUUUGCUGAUUGAUGGACAUCCUUCAGCAUAGUCACCACGGCAAAAUGUCCAUGAACAGAAAGGAAAGACC